CAUCCGGUGACUGAAAGCAAGUAAUGGUCUCUUAAACCGUUGUAUAGUAAUGUCGCACCUACUCCUGAUG
rnacentral:tRNA from 1 species